rnacentral:lncRNA from 12 species
AUGGUUUGGGGGCGUCUGCUACAGGCCGGGCACCGCCACGGAUUUAAUAGGGUCGUGAUUUUUAGAGCCGUGAAGGCCAGUGUGGCCCCGUUCGCUUCCACUUGGUCGCGGACAGCCUGCGAGACUCGUCAAGGUCGCGAACAGCCUGCGAGACUCGCUCAAGGUCGCGGACAGCCUGCGAGACUCGUCAAGGUCACGGACAGCCUGCGAGACUCGCUCAAGGUCACGGACAGCCUGCGUGACUCGCUCAAGGUCACGGACAGCCUGCGUGACUCGGUCAAGGUCGCGGACAGCCUGCGAGACUCGUCAAGGUCGCGAACAGCCUGCGAGACUCGGUCAAGGUCACGGACAGCCUGCGAGACUCCGUCAAGGUCACGGACAGCCUGCGAGACUCGGUCAAGGUCACGGACAGCCUGCGUGACUCGGUCAAGGUCACGGACAGCCUGCGUGACUCGCUCAAGGUCACGGACAGCCUGCGUGACUCGUUCAAGGUCGCAGGUCAAGGUCGCAGACCCAGUCACUGCCGCAUCAAGUGUUCACCUUCUCAUCUGA